rnacentral:tRNA from 2 species
GGGGAUGUAGCUCAGUUAGCAAAGUGCUUGCCUAACACACAGGAAGUGCUGGGUUCAAGUCCCAGCACUCAUA